AGAGUUUGAUCCUGGCUCAGAUUGAACGCUGGCGGCAUGCUUUACACAUGCAAGUCGAACGGACUUGAGGGGCUUGCUCCUUAAGUUAGUGGCGAACGGGUGAGUAAUGCAUCGGAACGUACCGUGUAAUGGGGGAUAACGCAGCGAAAGUUGUGCUAAUACCGCAUACGUCCUACGGGAGAAAGCAGGGGAUCUUAGGA
rnacentral:rRNA from 1 species